CGAACGGCACAUUUGAAUGUUAAUCCUCAGGGGCAUCAAAGGGGUCGCUCCAUCAUAAGAGGUAGUACCAGGCAGAUAGCCAGUGAUAGGGGUAGGGGGACACGCAGAGUUAACCCUUCCAGGGCAAUGAGGCCAUUACAGUUUAUACAAAUGGGAGAUAACGCAAAUGCCGUUCAGCAGGCCGCUCCCGAUAUUAUUAACCCACACAGGGCUGAUAGUGGUUUAGUGCAAGCGGCCGCUCAGCCGCAUGAUAUUGUGUCUAAUAAUAGCCUGCAUGUGAAUCAAGGCAAUGUUCAAAGUAUGCAUGUUAAUCAAAACAUUGAGCAUCAUUUACCAUCUCAUCAUUUACCAUCCCCCAUUGGUGUGAAUGCGGCUUUGAAUGGUGUGAACGUACAAGCAGCUCCUCAGGGAUAUAAUACACCCCUGGUUGGCAUACAUAAUGCGAAUGUGCAAUCUUUAAGCCAGCUACAACAUCCCAUUACUUUAGGCAUACAAGGAGUACAACCCCUUGAUCAGGGUAUCCACUCCCCCAUGGCAGCCACGCAGGGCGCUCAUGCACACUCAUUAAACCAUGCACAAUCAAUAAGCCAGGCAUGCCAUAACCCUAUUGUAGACCAGCAGGGUGUGAAUGCUCAGACAUCUGCGAAUGGACAGUCAGUGAGUCAGGGAUUUCAUACACCACUUCAUAUAGCUCAUCCACCCCUUGCUACUGAUAAUCCAGACACAUCCAUUGGGCAAAGUGCUCGCCAAAUUCUUUCUCUUUUGCAGGGGGCAAUUGGAUCACAAAGUGCAGCAAAAACACGGACCAACACUGCCACAGUCAUGAGUGGGGCGGAUGCAGGAGUACCAGGCAGCAUUACAGCAGGAGCAGCAGCCACCACUUCCACUGCACAGCAAGGGUCUUCAGGACUCGCCCUCCAAAACCAGCCAGCAGGCCAGCCCGUUUCCAGCAUGGGUCAGGGACCUCCUGCCAUUAGUCACGGUGAGAAUGCUUUAUUUACACACAAUGACCUUUCUUCCUCUGACUCAUCCUCUUCUGACUCAGGGUCUGAGACUGACUCUUCCUUGGGUUUACAAGGGGCAGGUCAGAAGAAAAUGUUUAGAAUGAUUAAGAAAAUUUUAAAGAGGGGGGUCAAGCCAGAUACUAAGCAGGAUAGCGCCAGUAACCCCGCCCCGCAAAACCCAUCUACAGAGGUGCCAGCUGAACCUCUCCCUACCAGGGCCAUCUCCGAAAGGCGAGCAGCCCUUUACGGGGACGCAAGCCCAGGAAAAAUAUACUCAUUGCAUAGACACCUGCGCAAAAAGGUGGUCAGUAGAAUCCACCGUGGAAAAUAUGUUAAUAUAUUUGACCUUUCGGUGGAGGCGUAUAGGCAGAGAGAGAAGAGCGCUGAGGGAACAGGGCCUAAAAAAUUUAAACGCCCAGACACUUUUGAUGAGUGGCUCCAGUGCUUCAGGGUUUUUUCCUCCUGUUAUAUCGAAAAGUACCCCUCCCAGAGUUUGCCUAUCCUAAAAUACACGGACACUAUUCACUGGAUUCAGCGUAAUCACAGUGAAGGUGUGUGGAGGGAAUAUGAUGCUGAGUUCAGGAGGAAAAUGGCAGGAAAUCCUUCCCUGACAUUUGACUCUACUGAUAACCAGUUGUGGCAGCGAAUGGACCCAAAAGGGGGUGCACCCGCUGCUGCAACUUCAACUCAGCAAUCAGCGCAGCAGUCCUUUCGCAAUACCAGAAGCAGGAAACGGGGGGGAACCUGCUGGCCCUUCCAGGACAAAAAAUGCGACAAGGGUAGCGCAUGCACCUUCAGACAUGUCUGCAGGUACUGCUCUGGUCCACACCCUGGCAGUGACUGCAUCAAGCGAAGGGACCAGGCCAAUAAGCCCCCUUCAGCAAACUUGGGCCAGAAAGGCGGAAACGCCAAUUAAUGUACAUGCCAUGGCACCAUGGUUGUGGGCUUACCCAGACCAGGCGGCGGCACGUAUGUUAUGGGAGGGUUUUUCAUUUGGUUUUCAUAUCCCCACAUUUAGGCAAAUCAAGGGUAAGAGAUUUAAUAGGAACCUUAUUUCAGCAUACCAACACCCCCAAGUAGUGAGGGAUAAAAUUAAUAAAGAAGUGACUUUAGGGCGAAUGGCGGGCCCCUUUGCUGCCCCACCUUUACCUGAUUUGGUCAUUUCCCCGUUGGGGGUGGUUCCCAAGAAAGAGCCAGGGAAGUUUCGCCUCAUUCAGCACCUGUCGUACCCAAAAGGUAGCUCAGUCAAUGAUGCCAUUGACCCCCAACUCAGCUCGGUGCGCUAUCAAUCCUUUGAUAGCGCACUAGACCUGGUCAGGAGGGCGGGUCAUGGUGCUCUAUUGGCGAAACUAGACAUUGAGUCGGCAUUUAGGCUUCUUCCACUCCACCCCUCAGUUUUCCAUCUAAUGGGUUGUAAGUUUGCAGGUGUGUGCUACGUGGAUCGCUGCCUGCCCAUGGGCUGCUCUUUGUCAUGCGCCUUGUUUGAAGCGUUCAGUAGUUUCCUUCAUUGGGUCGUAGCUUCAGAAGUGGGCAGCGAUCCCAUAGCACACUACCUGGACGAUUUUCUCAUUGUAGGGAGGGCAGGCUCCGAUGAUUGUUUAUCCACAAUGAACAUCAUGCGCAGCGUCAUGAGACAUUUCGGGGUGCCCCUAGCAGAGGACAAAACGCAAGGCCCCGCGUCCUGUUUAGUCUUCCUGGGAAUCGAAAUCGACACCCAGGCUCGGCUCUGUAGGUUGCCACCUGAUAAAGUUCAGGGCAUGCUUGAGGCGGUCAGAGCGGCAGUCUCUAAUGCAGUUAUUUCCCUGAAACAGUUACAAUCCCUGUUAGGUUUGCUUAAUUUCGCUUGCAGAGUUAUCCCCAUGGGUCGGGUUUUUAACCGUAGACUGGAAAGACAGCUUAGUGGUAGGUCAAACCCGAAAUCAAAGAUAACCCUAGGGAGUGAAUUGCUGGCUGACCUGGUAGUCUGGGAACAGUUUCUCACGCGAUUUAACGGGAUUCGGGUCUGGCGUACCCCUCCCAUGUCUAGCCAGUUACUGCACCUUUUCACUGACGCAGCUGGAUCGCACGGUUACGGGGCCUAUUUCCAGGGAGAGUGGAGCGCGGAGCCCUGGCCGGAGUCCUGGGCCCCGGCGGGCCUUACUCGAAACCUGACUCUCCUGGAGCUAUUCCCCGUGGUCUUGGCGGUCGAGCUGUGGGGUGGGAAGUUGUCGAACGGGACUGUUGUGUUCUGGACAGACAACAUCAGUGUGGUCUUUGCGAUCAAUAACUUGUCAGCCACCUCAGCAAAGGUCAUUACCUUGCUGCGCCACCUGGUGUUGCGCUGUCUGGACCUUAACAUCCAGUUCCAGGCCCGUCAUGUCCCGGGCGUCGACAAUGUUGUAGCUGACGCCCUGUCACGAUUCGAAUGGGCGACAUUUCGCAAGUUAGCCCCCACAGCUGCAGCCGUGGGCUUACGCUGUCCUGAUUUCCUUUGGCAGCUCGUCCUUCCUGGAUAGCCUUACUGCCGUUGGUCCGCUCCUCCUUAGCACCAUCCACUUGGCACGCCUAUGCCCGCAUGUGGUCUGAAUGGGACAAUUUCUGUGCGUCCAGGGGAGCCGACGCUGCUCAGGGGUCUAGGGACAACUUACAUGAUUGGCUGGCACUACCCCCGGGGUGAAGCGAAUCUGGAUUGUGGGCCACUCCUUUGUCCACUGGGCCUCCCUACGCUGUGCGUCCCUCCCAUUUGGCCAAUCCCUAGGUCUCCCUUCCAACAAGGCAUCCGUUAGGUGGUUGGGUGAUAGGGGGAUGUGCUGGCCCCAAUUAGCAGGAACCAUAUCUGAGGCCCUGGUACGCUGGGGGAAGCCUCACAUUAUUAUUCUUCACCUAGGGGGUAACGAUGUGGGGGCCAUACCAGUUUUACAGUUGAUUAAGGUUAUGCAGGCAGACAUUGGGUGGCUAAGAGUACGCAUCCCGGGGGUCAUGAUAGGGUGGUCCCAUAUAAUACCCCGUCUCCACUGGAGGCAUAUGUCGGCCCAUACGGCGGCAUACCGGGUUAGGAAGAAGAUCAAUGCGUCUGUAGCGAAAACCGUCACUGGGUCAGGUGGCUUCGUGGUACGGCACGAAGCCAUUUCGGCUGAUAGAACCGAGCUAUAUAGAAGGGAUAAAGUUCACCUUUCUGAUGUGGGGCUGGAUUUAUUCAUAGGGGACAUUCAGAGAGCUCUGUUACCCCUCCUGUAAAUCGGGUUGUGCGUUGGCGGCAAGGGUACCAUUAAAAUGCUUCCUUGUGGCGGGAGAUCCUCGGUCCGGUUGCGCAGGAGAAGGUCGCUAGGGGUGAGUGAUGGCCAGACUUCCGGGGAGGAGGGUAGGCCCUCACGUGCACGUGACGGUAACCCUCCUUCCUCCCUUUUGAGGGAUGGUCACGUGAUCUCUGCAACCCCUCAGCGUCAUCUCCUUAGGGCAGAGACUCCUCUGCUGCUGUUCCCGUUGGGCCGGUGAUCUCCUGCUGUUCUGGGUAGCUGAUCUCUAUGCCGCCAUAUAUAUUUUCAGUUCUAUCAGUUCUAUCUAGUUUGUUAGGUUAAUAAAAUUUUAUGGCCUGUGACGGUCACAAAAUUUUUCCCAUAAAAAGUUUGUCUGUGGUUAUUUCGCACUACAUUCUCAUGUACAUAGUUAUUUAAUUAAGUUAUGUUAAAUCCUCUCCUCUGUGAAGAAGGAUCCGGUAAGCAUUUAAUCCCUUAAUGCAGUGUAGGGCUUAGUAUAAGCCUGGAGCAGUCUAAGGGUUAAGGCUGUAGGAGAGUGGGUUAGAAGAGAGAGGGAAGGUGCUGGGUGCAACAUUGUUGCAAUUUAGGGUAGGCCCCUCCUUACCAGUAGAUAAGCCAAGUUCUCCCUUGCAACUUCCUCUUCUUCUCCGGAUCCUGGCUGAAGCAGUUUUUUCCCUCCCUCCCUUCCCCUUUUGUAAUGUUUUAAUGAUGUUGUAUUUUCGACGGCACCUUAAUGGCAGGGCUAUGGCUACUCACCCUAGGCCCAAUAAGCCAUUACUGUAGGAUAUGGAUCUCCUCUCCCUGUUAUGCGGUUUACACGGCUUGGUAACAGGGAAUCCUUAUCUAGGUGGAAGAUCUUCUUUCACCCUGGCGGCGGGAGAUCCUCGGUCCGGUUGCGCAGGAGAAGGUCGCUAGGGGUGAGUGAUGGCCAGACUUCCGGGGAGGAGGGUAGGCCCUCACGUGCACGUGACGGUAACCCUCCUUCCUCCCUUUUGAGGGAUGGUCACGUGAUCUCUGCAACCCCUCAGCGUCAUCUCCUUAGGGCAGAGACUCCUCUGCUGCUGUUCCCGUUGGGCCGGUGAUCUCCUGCUGUUCUGGGUAGCUGAUCUCUAUGCCGCCAUAUAUAUUUUCAGUUCUAUCAGUUCUAUCUAGUUUGUUAGGUUAAUAAAAUUUUAUGGCCUGUGACGGUCACAAAAUUUUUCCCAUAAAAA